rnacentral:lncRNA from 1 species
UACUCUCAAGUUCAACAUUUAAGAUUUCACUGGAAUUUCAUAUCAAGUUUGAUUGAAACAGAAAAUAAUAUUUUUUCGAAAUUUCCAAAGUAGUGAUGUAUGACAGCUGAAAUGCAGCAAAUAAUGAAAUCAAUGCAUCAUCUCAGAGUAACAGUCAUUCAGUCCUCCCAUUCACUUCAACCUCAGAGUCACUCUUACGAGUAGUCCAUCGCAAAGAAAUAUGCCAAUAACGCAUCUAAUGAACUCGCAAUAUAAAGCUACCCUCAUAAAAAUGUGAAAUAUUUGACUGAAUUUAAACUGAAGUAGAUUUUCAGAGCAAAAAACUAAAGGACUAGUAAAAUUGCUUCUUUGUAAUAUUCGCAGUUAAAUGGCUGCACAUCCUGCAAGAAAAUCAGAAAUUAAUAAUAUUAAACUCCCAAGAUCACAAGUAUAAGUCAUAUCCAAUCAUAACUACAUAUUUAGACAGAAAAUGUUUUCUCAUAUCAGAAAUGAUUCAGUAACAGUUGCUAUAAUUCACUGCACUUAUUAUAUGCUCCAAUAAAAUAUAUAUUCCGUAGCCUUCAUUUAAACAUUUCAAAUCAGCGAAAUAAUCGUAAAAGGAUACGCAAAAUCUUGACUUUCACAGGCUCGCUCUCUGCAAUUUCAAGACCACAAAAAAAAAAAACUGAGUCCACAAAAAGGGAAUUCAUAAAUUCUACACUGAAAUGACAAUUGAAAAAACUCUUGACUGUAAACUAAUAAAAAUUAAUGUUUUAGAAGAGAAAUAAACCAUUUCCGAAGAUAAAAUUGAUGCGUUAAUCUACGAUUUCUGCGUGAAUUUUGAACUGAAAUGGUUGUCUUUUUAGGGCUUUAUACGAACUUUUUGAAAGUGGGGGAAAAACUAUUGAAAAAUAUGUUUUGGCCCUACCUUGGAAGCAACAGGUUUCUUGGGCUAAGUUGUUGUCACAUGGCCCGUAAUCCAACGGGGGAGUCUGGCCCAGUCUAUGUAUGGCUAAAAUAGUUCACAGAAAGAUAGCCCAGACUGAACUAGCCCAUGUCGUUGUUGUCACUUGGCCCGUAAAUGAUUGUACUAUCUUACAAGGGAGCCUGUCCCAG